rnacentral:rRNA from 1 species
UACGUAGGGGGCAAGCGUUGUCCGGAUUUAUUGGGCGUAAAGAGCGUGUAGGCGGCCUGACAGGUCUGCUGUGAAAACUCGAGGCUCAACCUCGAGAUGUCGGCGGAAACCGUCUGGCUAGAGUCCGGAAGAGGAGAGUGGAAUUCCUGGUGUAGCGGUGAAAUGCGCAGAUAUCAGGAAGAACACCUAUGGCGAAGGCAGCUCUCUGGGACGGUACUGACGCUGAGACGCGGAAAGCGUGGGGAGCAAACAGG